GAACUUUCGCUGCCCGAAUGCCAUGAAAAAAGGUCCGAGGAUAUCCAUCCCCCUUUAUGCAAACGGCCAUAGGGCACUCAAGGGUGUAAGUUUGGAGGCGGGUUGCCUUUGGAUGUUUGCAUAUCUCUGACACCGAUCACACCUUCUGACAUAUUCGAUGGAGUCGUGGGACAUGGUAGGUCAGUAAUAGCCUUGUCGGAGUAGCUUAUGGGAUAAAGAUCUACCCCCCAGGUGACUUCCGCAAACUCCCUCAUGUACCUCCCACAAGGUGAAGUCGGCUUCAGAAGGCCGGAGACAUUUCAGAAGGGGCAAAGAGUAUGAUCUCUUGUACAGCUUGCCUUCAUAAAGAAUAUAUCGGGAGGUCAGGUUCCUAAGCUUCCGAGCUUCUUUUGCAUCAGGAGGAAGAACCCUGUCCUUGAGGUACGCAACCAAUGGGUCAAUCCAGCUGGGUUCAUGGUUGAUCUCCAUCACAAGCUGUGGCUCUUCCAUAGUUGGGUACUUCAGAACUUCGAAGAAGACUUUUUUGGGCAGUUCAGCUGGAGCCAGUGUAGCCAACUUGGAGAGAAAGUCAGCCCUAGUAUUUUCGGCUCUUAGAAUCUGCUUGAUGUCAAAGCUACCGAAGGCAGGGACAAUCUAUUUUACCUUUUCGAGAUACUUGACCAUACUGUCCUCCUGAGCUUUAUAGUUUCUGCUGACUUAUCCCACCACC
rnacentral:lncRNA from 1 species